rnacentral:sRNA from 1 species
UAAGCACUAAUUAAAGCGUUUUCAAAAAUGAUAAAAGGGGAUGAAACAAUGGGUAUCAUCGUUUGUCAAUCUUGUAAUAGCACAAUUGACCAUUAUGAGGACGAGAAGGUAACGACACUGUAUUCAAAGUGUGACGGCUGCUGUAACGAUGAAGACAUUGAUGAAUAAAAAAUAACACAUAUAUAAUUGAGAAAGCCUCUUUUUAC